rnacentral:rRNA from 1 species
AGGCGACCGGCCACACUGGGUACUGAGACACGGCCCAGGACUCCUACGGGAGGCAGCAGUGGGGAAUAUUGCACAAUGGGCGGAAGCCUGAUGCAGCGACGCCGCGUGAGGGAUGACGGCCUUCGGGUUGUAAACCUCUUUCAGCAGGGACGAAGCGUAAGUGACGGUACCUGCAGAAGAAGCACCGGCCAACUACGUGCCAGCAGCCGCGGUAAGACGUAGGGUGCGAGCGUUGUCCGGAUUUAUUGGGCGUAAAGAGCUCGUAGGCGGCUUGUCGCGUCGACCGUGAAAACUUGGGGCUCAACCCCAAGCCUGCGGUCGAUACGGGCAGGCUAGAGUUCGGUAGGGGAGACUGGAAUUCCUGGUGUAGCGGUGAAAUGCGCAGAUAUUAGGAGGAACACCGGUGGCGAAGGCUGGUCUCUGGGCCGAUACUGACGCUGAGGAGCGAAAGCGUGGGGAGCGAA